rnacentral:rRNA from 1 species
AAUUUGAAAUCUGGCACCUUCGGUGUCCGAGUUGUAAUUUGAAGAUUGUAACCUUGGGGUUGGCUCUUGUCUAUGUUUCUUGGAACAGGACGUCACAGAGGGUGAGAAUCCCGUGCGAUGAGAUGCCCAAUCCUAUGUAAGGUGCUUUCGAAGAGUCGAGUUGUUUGGGAAUGCAGCUCUAAGUGGGUGGUAAAUUCCAUCUAAAGCUAAAUAUUGGCGAGAGACCGAUAGCGAACAAGUACAGUGAUGGAAAGAUGAAAAGAACUUUGAAAAGAGAGUGAAAAAGUACGUGAAAUUGUUGAAAGGGAAGGGUUUGAGAUCAGACUCGAUAUUUUGUGAGCCUUGCCUUCGUGGCGGGGUGACCCGCAGCUUAUCGGGCCAGCAUCGGUUUGGGCGGUAGGAUAAUGGCGUAGGAAUGUGACUUUGCUUCGGUGAAGUGUUAUAGCCUGCGUUGAUGCUGCCUGCCUAGACCGAGGACUGCGAUUUUAUCAAGGAUGCUGGCAUAAUGAUCCCAAACCGCCCGUCUU